UACGAAGGGGGCUAGCGUUGCUCGGAAUUACUGGGCGUAAAGGGAGCGUAGGCGGACAUUUAAGUCAGAGGUGAAAUCCCGGAGCUUAACUUCGGAACUGCCUUUGAUACUGGGUGUCUUGAGUGUGAGAGAGGUAUGUGGAACUCCGAGUGUAGAGGUGAAAUUCGUAGAUAUUCGGAAGAACACCAGUGGCGAAGGCGACAUACUGGCUCAUUACUGAACGCUGGAGGCUCGGAAAGCGUGGGGAGCAAACAGG
rnacentral:rRNA from 1 species